GUUCCCUGUAGCCUACCAUUAUAAAAGGAGCCAGGGUAUAUAAUAUUUUGGCUGCAUUCACUGUGAUAUGGAAAAUGGACAAAAAUAUAAUGUGGUCUUUGCCGUUUUGUAAUGGGGCUGGGGUGCCAGUCCCAGGACCUCUGAAUAAGAUCCUGCUGGGCCAGCUGGUCCUAAAGGGCAGAAGGGGGAGGUGGAAACGCCAGGAGCUGCUGAUGCUUCCAUACAGUGUUAGAGGCAAAAUAUGAGUGAGCAGCACAAAAUUUCUGGGGGUGCACAUCAGCGACGACCUCUCCUGGACCACCAAC